rnacentral:tRNA from 1 species
GGUUAGCUCAAACGGUAGAGCGCGGGACUUAUAAUCCUGUGGUAAAGGGUUCAAGUCCCUUUUCAACCG